CCUACGGGCGGCAGCAGUGGGGGAUAUUGCACAAUGGGGGAAACCCUGAUGCAGCGACGCCGCGUGUGGGAAGACGGUCCUCUGGAUUGUAAACCACUGUCCCCAGGGACGAAGAUGACGGUACCUGGGGAGGAAGCUCCGGCUAACGACGUGCCAGCAGCCGCGGGAAUACGGAGGGAGCGAGCGUUGUCCGGAAGUACCGGGUGUAAAGGGAGCGUAGGCGGGGAUGCGAGUUUGUGGUAAAAACUACCGGCUAAACUGGUAGUCGCACUCAAAACUGCAGCUCUUGAGUGAAGUAGAGGCAGGCGGAAUUCGUAGUGUAGCGGUGAAAUGCGUAGAUAUUAGGAGGAACACCAGUGGCGAAGGCGGCCUGCUGGGCUUUUACUGACGCUGAGGCUCGAAAGUGUGGGGAGCAAACAGGAUUAGAUACCCCAGUAGUC
rnacentral:rRNA from 1 species